rnacentral:rRNA from 1 species
CAGUCGCCGCGGUAAUACGAAGGGUGCAAGCGUUAAUCGGAAUUACUGGGCGUAAAGCGUGCGUAGGCGGUGAGUUAAGUCUGCUGUGAAAUCCCCGAGCUUAACUUGGGAACUGCAUUUGAAACUGGCAAGCUAGAGUCUUGUAGAGGGGGGUAGAAUUCCAGGUGUAGCGGUGAAAUGCGUAGAGAUCUGGAGGAAUACCGGUGGCGAAGGCGGCCCCCUGGACAAAGACUGACGCUCAGGUGCGAAAGCGUGGGGAGCAAACAGGAUUAGAUACCCCAGUAGUCCCUGUCUCUUAUAC